rnacentral:tRNA from 1 species
UCCAGGGUAGCCUAGUGGUCAUGGCAUCUGCCCGGUAAGCGGAAGGUCGUGGGUUCGAUAGUAACCAAAUAUGACCCUGCUUUAUUAGGGU